rnacentral:rRNA from 1 species
CCUAACACAUGCAAGUUCGAGCGGAAACGAUGGGUGCUUGCACCCAGGCGUCGAGCGGCGGACGGGUGAGUAACGCGUGAGAAUCUGCCCAUUUGUGGGGGAUAACUCGGGGAAACUCGAGCUAAUACCGCAUAAUCCCUACGGGGGAAAGCAGGGGACCUUCGGGCCUUGUGCAGAUGGAUGAGCUCGCGUCGGAUUAGCUAGUUGGUGGGGUAAAGGCCUACCAAGGCGACGAUCCGUAGCUGGUCUGAGAGGAUGAUCAGCCACACCGGGACUGAGACACGGCCCGGACUCCUACGGGAGGCAGCAGUGGGGAAUCUUGGACAAUGGGGGCAACCCUGAUCCAGCCAUGCCGCGUGUGUGAAGAAGGCCCUAGGGUUGUAAAGCACUUUCAGCAGGGAGGAAGGCUUACUGUUAAUACCGGUGAGUACUUGACGUUACCUGCA